UCCGGCUUGACGCCGGCAGUCUCGCUAGAGUCCUCAGCAUUACCUGUUAGCAACUAACGACAAGGGUUGCGCUCGUUAAUGGACUUAACCAAACACUUCACAGCACGAGCUGACGACAGCCAUGCAGCACCUGUGCACGUUCCAACCUUGCGGUUGUCAUCGCUGUUUCCAACGACUAAUCCGUGCAUGUCAAACCCGGGUAAGGUUCUUCGCGUUGCUUCGAAUUAAGCAACAUGCUCCACCGCUUGUGUGAGCCCCCGUCAAUUUCUUUGAGUUUUAGCCUUGCGACCGUACUCCCCAGGCGGCACAUUUAGCAAUUUCUCUACGACCAAUACGACGUCAGAGUCGCAUCGGUCUAAUGUGCAUCGUUUAGGGCGUGGACUAC
rnacentral:misc_RNA from 1 species